AAGAGACCAGCAAUGCAGGAACAAACGGCCGUGCACUUCCCUGAUUCCAAAGCGUUAGAUCCACUUUCUCAUUCUUUGAGACCCGCUUACCCCACUAGUAAGUGGACCACACGCCGAGAGCUGAACAGAACGAACCUGAGUGCGUCCGAUUCUUCCGGUUAAUUAGGUUGCUCUUCCUGACUGUAGAAAUGCUUGAGGAAGAAAUCGUGGGGUGUGUGGAGGCGGAGAAUGGAUUUGGUCACCUAUUGUGAGUCAGAGCAUCUCUGUGUGUAGGGUUCCAUGGUGUAAUGGUGAGCACUCUGGACUCUGAAUCCAGCGAUCCGAGUUCAAAUCUCGGUGGGACCUUUCUCUUUAACCCACACAGGAUCCAUUUUCUUUCUGUUCAUAGCCCUGGCUUAGCACAGGAAGGAAGGAAAGGGGAGCAGGCCCUGGCUUCACUCCUGCUCUAAGUCAUUUGCACACCGCGUUUGCGUCCUAUCUCUCAGCUCUGAGACACCAAUCCACAUCGUAGCAGCCCGAACACACCGCAAAAUCCUGUCCUCUGCGACCAGCCUGGCCCGAGGCUCGCUGACACAUCGCGGCUCCACGACCCUCAGGUCUGCCACGUUUUCAGGUGAGCUGGGGCCGAAAGGGUUUCAACACCUGGCUACAGACACACCCGAGGCUCCAUCAUCUCCUGUUCCUGCACACGAUGAAGGGAAUUUAAUCGAGCUAGCCCUUAGCUAGCCCUUGCGUUUGAGCAAUUUCAGUGCGUUUUAGCUCAUUGAACUUCUGAGAUUCUAUUGAAACCAGCAGAGGCCGCUGCUGUCUCCUUAAUUGAGACCAAAAGAGCUGAGUUUGGAUCGCAGCGCCCCAGGUGGCUCCUCCCCGGGUCACCAGUCUGAAAUCAACCGCUGCAGCUGCCUUCUGCCAGAACUCUGCCCAGGAAAAUUCCACUGGAGAAGGCCGUGGGAAUGUUAGAGGAAGGUUUACAUAGCCUUCACGUGCAGGCGCCUGGAGAAAUUGAAAUAAUCGUUUUCCUGUGGUUGGAAUUUUGGGUAGUUACGAAGUAUUGAAAAGUAUAACUGCUGUUUUAGAGAGUUCAGGCUGGGAUCUGAAAAGAAAUGGGAGGUCCCAUCAGAGGUGGUUGAGAGAGGUGGGGGAGGGGAAAAAAAGUCCCAAUACUUCGGCCAAGAGGACGGAAGACUGGCGGAGUCCCAUUCCCCUGGUAAUCUGGAGACCGAGAGUGGCAAGGUCUUUUACCGCAAGUAAAAGCUUCAGCCCCUCAGAGCUGGGUCGGUGUUUAUCAGGAAAGUAAACUUCUCUGCUUACUUAACGUCUUCGACCAUUGGGACCUCGGCUUCCCUCUCUGGGUGGUGGCUUCAGCACCAAUCGCAAGCGUUUAAUUUCAUUCUCACCGAGUCCUCUUGCUACAGGUGAAGUCUCAUAUCAUCCAUCGAGACUCAGAGGAUAGUGACUGGCUUCUGCUCUGGUCCCAAAUUGUGGGGUAAACAUCCCGUCCCCUAUGGAAUCUGACCCGGGGGCCCAGAUCUGAAGUAAUGAUACAGGCCAACUCCUCCUGAG
rnacentral:lncRNA from 1 species